UUUAAAUAAGGGCAAAACUACUGAAAAGUAGCGACGCAAAGCUAGAGUCUAAAGCUACACCCUGUGGGGUAGCCAUGAUCGUUCAGCUGCAUAA
rnacentral:ncRNA from 1 species